UUUCUUCCCUUAUCUUAAAUGGCCAACAAUAGCUACGCACUUGAUGAGCACAUGCGCAUAUGCCUGACGUCGGGUAUUGACCUUAAAGAUAAAAAUGAAAAAAAUGGGGAACCGUGCCUCGUGUAUUAUCCAAGGGGUAGCAAACUUAUUCACUGGAGAUGAACUGCCAAGCCUGACAGGUUGCAGGAAGAGGAUAACCCCAUCUGAUCUCAAGAAACAAUAGGCCGGAAGAAGCACGCACUUACGUGCGAAACUGCCGACAUAGCCUCCAAGCGCCAUACACCAGCGCCGAUGCCGAGAUCCGUCACCCCGUCACCGAAUCUCAAUACCUGACUGUCUCUG